rnacentral:rRNA from 1 species
UGGGGAAUUUUGGACAAUGGGCGAAAGCCUGAUCCAGCAAUGCCGCGUGUGUGAAGAAGGCCUUCGGGUUGUAAAGCACUUUUGUCCGGAAAGAAAUCCUCUGGGUUAAUACUUCGGGGGGAUGACGGUACCGGAAGAAUAAGCACCGGCUAACUACGUGCCAGCAGCCGCGGUAAUACGUAGGGUGCAAGCGUUAAUCGGAAUUACUGGGCGUAAAGCGUGCGCAGGCGGUUUUGUAAGACGGAUGUGAAAUCCCCGGGCUUAACCUGGGAACUGCAUUCGUGACUGCAAGGCUAGAGUAUGGCAGAGGGGGGUAGAAUUCCACGUGUAGCAGUGAAAUGCGUAGAGAUGUGGAGGAAUACCGAUGGCGAAGGCAGCCCCCUGGGCCAAUACUGACGCUCAUGCACGAAAGCGUGGGGAGCAAACAGGAUUAGAUACCCUGGUAGUCCACGCCCUAAACGAUGUCAACUAGUUGUUGGGGAUUCAUUUCCUUAGUAACGUAGCUAACGCGUGAAGUUGACCGCCUGGGGAGUACGGUCGCAAGAUUAAACUCAAAUGAAUUGACGGGGUCAUAGCUGUUUCCU